rnacentral:lncRNA from 1 species
AACUACCAGGGAAUGACGAAUUUGAACCCAUACCAAGUGUUACAAGGUAUGAUGGUGAUGGUUAUAAGAGUAUGAAACUAUCGGGGAAUGAUGAGUUUGAACCCAGACCAAGUGUUACAAGGUAUGACGGUGACGGUUAUCAGAGUACAAAACUAUCGGUGAAUAAUGAGUUUGAACCUAUACCAAGUGUUACAAAGUAUGGCGGUGAUGGUUAUAAGAAUACCAAAUUAUCGGUGAAUAGUGAGUUUGAACCCAUACCAAGUGUUACAAGUUAUGGCAGUGAUGGCUAUAAGAGUAUGAAACUACCGGUUAAUGACGAGUUUGAACCCAGACCAAGUGCUACAAAGUAUGAUGGUGAUGGUUAUCAGAGUACAAAACUAUCGGUGAACAGUGAGUUUGAACCCAUACCAAGUGUUACAAGUUAUGGCAGUGAUGGCUAUAAGAGUAUGAAACUACCGGUUAACGACGAGUUUGAACCCAGACCAAGUGCUACAAGGUAU